rnacentral:rRNA from 1 species
GUGUCAGCAGCCGCGGUAAGACAGAGGGUGCAAGCGUUGUUCGGAUUGACUGGGCGUAAAGGGCGUGUAGGCGGUUAGGUAAGUCCGAUGUGAAAUCAACAUCGCUUAACGGGUUGUCCGCAUCGGAAACUGUCUAACUUGAGUAUAGGAGAGGAUAACGGAAUUCCUGGUGUAGCGGUGGAAUGUGUAGAUAUCAGGAGGAACACCGGUGGCGAAGGCGGUUAUCUGGCCUAAUACUGACGCUGAGGCGCGAAAGCUAGGGGAGCAAACCGGAUUAGAUACCCCCGUAGUCC